rnacentral:rRNA from 1 species
UGGGGAAUCUUGCACAAUGGGGGAAACCCUGAUGCAGCGACGCCGCGUGAGCGAUGAAGCCCUUCGGGGUGUUAAGCUCUUUCGACGGGAACGAUAAUGACGGUACCCGGAGAAGAAGCUGCGGCUAACUACGUGCCAGCAGCCGCGGUAAUACGUAGGCAGCAAGCGUUGUUCGGAGUUACUGGGCGUAAAGAGUGCGUAGGCGGUGCCCUAAGUCUGUUGUGAAAUCUCCCGGCUUAACUGGGAGGGUGCGGUGGAAACUGGGGUGCUUGAGUGCGGGAGCGGUUAGCGGAAUUCCUGGUGUAGCGGUGAAAUGCGUAGAUAUCAGGAGGAACACCGGUGGUGUAGACGGCUGACUGGACCGCGACUGACGCUGAGGCACGAAAGCGUGGGUAGCAAACAGG